rnacentral:rRNA from 1 species
UACGUAGGUGGCAAGCGUUGUCCGGAUUUACUGGGCGUAAAGAGCGCGCAGGCGGUCGUUCAAGUCGCGUGUGAAAGCCCCCCGGCUCAACUGGGGAGGGUCACGCGAUACUGAUCGACUCGAAGGCAGGAGAGGGUAGUGGAAUUCCCGGUGUAGUGGUGAAAUGCGUAGAUAUCGGGAGGAACACCAGUGGCGAAGGCGACUACCUGGCCUGUUUCUUGACGCUGAGGCGCGAAAGCUAGGGGAGCAAACGGGG